rnacentral:rRNA from 1 species
AGUACGGUCGCUAGAUUAAAACUCAAAUGAAUUGACGGGGGCGCGCACAAGCGGUGGAGCAUGUGGUCUAAUUCGAAGCAACGCGAAGAACCUUACCUGGACUUGACAUGCAGAGAACUCUCUAGAGAUAGAUUGGUGCCUUCGCGAACUCUGACACAGAUGCUGCAUGGCUGUCGUCAGUUCGUGUCGUGAGAUGUUGGGUUAAGUCUCGUAACGAGCGCAACCCCUGUCCUUAGUCGUCAGCACGUAAUGGUGAGAACUCUAAGGAGACUGCCGGUGACAAACCGGAGGAAGGUGAGGAUGACGUCAAGUCAUCAUGGCCCUUACGUCCAGGGCUACACACGUGCUACAAUGGAGCGUACAGAGGGUUGCCAAGCCGCGAGGUGGAGCUAAUCCCGUAAGACGUCUCGUAGUCCGGA